AAGUCGUAACAAGGUUUCCGUAGGUGAACCUGCGGAAGGAUCAUUAACACGUGUAAACGUAUUAACCCAACUACCUUCUACAACCCGUGAACCCCCCUACCUCCUAUCAACGAUGGGUCAAUGCAAUAGUAGUAGGAUAGAGCAGUCGAAAGGCGGUUCUAUACAAUUGUAUUGAUCUAAGGUUUCGAACCUACACAUCGCUUUUUUGGAGGCUUUUAACCUUUUUUACCCUACUACAAAACCCAAAACAAACCUUUUUCACCUUUAAAACAACUGUUGACUGAUGUACGUUGAUUGUAGAGAAAUCUACUGGAUCAACACCAUUUUAUCAUAACUAAGCACAACUCUUAGCAAUGGAUAUCUUGGUUCUC
rnacentral:misc_RNA from 1 species